UAGCAUAUGCUUGUCUUAAAGACUAAGCCAUGCAUGUCUAAGUAUAAAUCUUUAUACGUUGCAACUGCGAAUGGCUCAUUAAAUCAGUUAUAGUUUAUUUGAUAAUCCCUACUACUUGGAUAACUGUAGUAAUUCUAGAGCUAAUACAUGCUAAAACACCCGACUCAGGAAGGGUGGCAUUUAUUAGAUAAAAAACCAAUGCGGGGCUUGCCCCGGACCAUUGAUGACUCAUAAUAACUGAGCGAAUCGCAUGGCCUUGCGCCGGCGAUGAUUCAUU
rnacentral:rRNA from 1 species